rnacentral:rRNA from 1 species
AGAACGAACGCUGGCGGCAUGCCUAACACAUGCAAGUCGAACGAGACCUUAGGGUCUAGUGGCGCACGGGUGCGUAACGCGUGGGAAUCUGCCCUUGGGUUCGGGAUAACAGUUGGAAACGACUGCUAAUACCGGAUGAUGACUUCGGUCCAAAGAUUUAUCGCCCAGGGAUGAGCCCGCGUCGGAUUAGCUAGUUGGUGGUAGGACG